rnacentral:lncRNA from 1 species
AUGAAUGUACAUUUUAAUAAACCCUUGGGAAAAAUUGAACAAUUACAAAGAAAUCUAUAUUUCGAAAUACUAUUUCUGCGAAACACAAAUUAAUUAUUAUUCUAAGGUACUUAGCUAGAGGAGAGAGAGCUUCCGUAGCUUAAUAUACAAUUUAAAAUAAUUAUAGAAUCUCAGAAAGUGCCAUUUCAUUAUUCAUUCAUUUCCAUCGUUGAUAUUUUUCACAAACAGAAAACAGCUGAUCGGCAUGUAUUCGUGAAUCCGUGUCGUCAAUGACAUUUGAUAUUGUGGAAAAAUCAAAUUCCCCUAGACUUGCAUGAAAACUUGCAGAAAAAAUGGCACCAAACCGAUUAUCGCGCAAUUGCAAGAAGUUGCAUGCAAUAAUCAACUGACGACAUACUGCGCAUGCCUUUAGGCAACUUUCUUGCGUCUUGCAGGUAGAAUUGCAAGCUGUAAAGCGCCCUUAAAGACCGCUUUACAGCUUGCAAUAAAACUUGCUGCAAUUUCUUGCAUGCAAGACUUUCAUGCAAGUCUAUUGCAUGGUCUUUUACAGCUUGUAACCCGGCUUGCAUGCAAUUUGAAAGUUUUACCCUUAACCUAACUUAUAAACUUUUGUUUUUUUUAAUUACUUUAUUGCUGUUUAUUUAACUUUGGUAAAUUUCGAAAUGCCAAGACUAUCAGAUAUAACCAAAUAUAAAAGAAAAAGGCGGUAGCAGCAACUUUAAGUAUUAUUAUUGCUGCAGCCAGCCUUUUAGUAGUCACUAAUUUAGAACGCCGAAAUCGGAGAUGGUGUAGUUGAACAAGAAGAGGGGUAAUAAUGUAUCUCCAACAGAAGAAUUUAUCCAAGUAGAUGAUGAAAAUGACUCUAAUUUUCUAGGAAUAAUGUACAUUUUAAUAAACCCUUGGGAAAAAUUGAACAAUUACAAAGAAAUCUAUAUUUCGAAGUACUAUUUCUGCGAAACACAAAAUUAAUUAUUAUCCUAGGGUACUUAGCUAGAGGAGAGAGAGCUUCCGUAGCUUAAUAUACAAUUUACAAUAAUUAUAGAAUCUCGGAAAGUGCCAUUUCAUUGUUCAUUCAUUUCCAUCGUUGAUAUAUUUCACAAACAGAAAACAGCUGAUCGGCAUGUAUUCGUGAAUCCGUGUCGUCAAUGACAUUUGAUAUUGUGGAAAAAUCAAAUUCCCCUAGACUUGCAUGAAAACUUGCAGAAAAAAUGGCACCAAACCGAUUAUCGCGCAAUUGCAAGAAGUUGCAUGCAAUGAUCAACUGAAGACAUACUGCGCAUGCCUUUAGGCAACUUUCUUGCGUCUUGCAGGUAGAAUUGCAAGCUGUAAAGCGCCCUUAAUACUGUGAGUGUACACUCAUAGGUUAAAUAAGUUAAAUUUAAACUUAAAGUGCAAUACAAAAUACAAAGAAAUCUGCUGGCAAAUGUACUCAUAGUAUGCACAAGAAAAGUGAAGGAAGGAGAAGAAGAAGGUGUUUGCGCCACAGAACACCAUAUUGGUCUUCUUGCCGUUAUUACUCAAAUAUACUCAACGUGUACACCACAAACCAUACAUACUCAUAGACGUUUCACGUAAAUUGUCAAGGUCAAGACAGCAAAUUAGUUACCAUUCCAAUCCAGAGAUGUCGCCGUCAGUCAAUUCUUUUGUCAUAUUUAACAACUGACAGUUGACAAUUAAAUUAAUUUGUUAUUUACUUUUUAUUUUACAAUUUUUGGCUUAAUUAUUUUAUUAUAGUGGUGUUACGUUUUUAAUUAGAUUUAAUCACAAUUUUAAUCAAUCGCAUUAACCUCCUCUCCGUUUUUAUGAGUAGAAUUUUUAGUUUACAUUGCGCUGUGUCUAGGUACACGCUAACGUGUACGCAAAUAGAAAAGUUAGGUACACGCGAGAUGUCAUCAAUUCAGUGACGUCACUAUUUAGCGUGAACUGUUACUGGUUUUUUGCAUACACGCUAACUUAUUGAGGAAGAGCUAAAGUUCUUAUGGAAAUCCAUUGUUGCCACAUCUUCAAAUAUGAGAAGAGACGUCUAUCAAUUACUGUCAAUUGUCAUUGUCUGAUGAUCUUUGUUAUGUUUGGUUAUGUUGUUGACAACUUUUGAUAGGAUAAGGAUAUUUUAAACACAUUUUAAAAGAAAAAGAACCUUAGUAGUUAGUAGAAAGGAAAGCAAUUUUAGAUUCCAACCGUAUUAUUACUUGUGAAAUAUUAUCAUCUAGUGGGAAAACCUCAGUGAUUGUGCCUUCAAACGGGCAAUUUGAAAGGACAACCCCACCAAAAACCAUUAUAAUUGUAAAUUGAAAUGAUUGAUAUUACAAAUGUUUGUACCUAUGUAAUUGUACAUGUAAAGCUGAAAAUUCAGGCAUACCAUGGAAAAUUUGAAAAAAUUAAGCACCACAGACAUCAAACAACAGUGGGGAUAAUUUAAAAAACAAUAAUACAACAUAGUCAACAAUAAAGUCCUACCAGUCUGCUGAUAAAUGGGCUACUGAUAUUGUACUAAAUUAUGAUUUAGCUCUAUUUUACUCAAAUAAUGUUGAAGUAACUCUGUUGAAAUAUCUUUAGCUAUGCUAAACCAAACUGGAGAAGCAUGAAAAAAGCUGACGUGACUGCAAGUAACUGGGACAAUUUAUUGCCAUUUAUUUACUUAUCAUAAAAAUAAAAGCCCAAGUUGGCCACUUAAAGUCAACCAAUUGUAUAAUUCCAAUUUUAAAUAAAAUACUGUACCCUUCCGUGGGAAAAAAUUAUGAAUCAGUUGCUUUAAAUAUGUAUGAAAAAAUAAGUCUAAGUAUGUAUGUAUGUAUUAUCAGUUUUAUUCCAAUUAUAUAAGUAAAAAACUUGUUUUAAAAGAA